AUGGCUCCUACCGAGGCUGAGGCUGAUGUAGAGGAGGGAGAAGGGAAGAAGAAGAGGGAAAGGAAAGCAGCCGGGGCUGCUUUCACGUGGAUUCAAAUUAACUUUGCGACGUGCCCUGCGGAUGCCACUGAUGAUGUGAUCCAGACACAUGCUCAUGUCUAUAUGUGGUACGUUGUCUCGAGGACUUUGUUUCCUGACUCCACGGGCAAGAACGCUCCAUGGAUGUGGCUGAAGGCGUUGACCGUCUUCGAUAGUAAAUGGAGCUGGGUUCAGCGACUCUUGCGUACUUGUACCGACAUGUAG
rnacentral:rRNA from 1 species